rnacentral:rRNA from 1 species
AGCUGCUACGGCAGUGAAGUCAUUGAUGCCAUGCUUCCAGGAAAAGCCUCUAAGCUUCAGAUAGUCAGGAAUCGUACCCCAAACCGACACAGGUGGUCGGGUAGAGAAUACCAAGGCGCUUGAGAGAACUCGGGUGAAGGAACUAGGCAAAAUGGUACCGUAACUUCGGGAGAAGGUACGCUCUUGAUGGUGAAGUCCCUCGCGGAUGGAGCUGACGAGAGUCGCAGAUACCAGGUGGCUGCAACUGUUUAUUAAAAACACAGCACUGUGCAAAAUCGCAAGAUGACGUAUACGGUGUGACGCCUGCCCGGUGCCGGAAGGUUAAUUGAUGGGGUUAGCGCAAGCGAAGCUCUUGAUCGAAGCCCCGGUAAACGGCGGCCGUAACUAUAACGGUCCUAAGGUAGCGAAAUUCCUUGUCGGGUAAGUUCCGACCUGCACGAAUGGCGUAAUGAUGGCCACGCUGUCUCCACCCGAGACUCAGUGAAAUUGAAAUCGCUGUGAAGAUGCAGUGUACCCGCGGCUAGACGGAAAGACCCCGUGAACCUUUACUACAGCUUGGCACUGAACAUUGAACCUACAUGUGUAGGAUAGGUGGGAGGCUAUGAAGACGUGACGCCAGUUGCGUUGGAGCCGUCCUUGAAAUACCACCCUUGUAUGUUUGAUGUUCUAACUUAGACCCAUUAUCUGGGUUGAGGACAGUGCCUGGUGGGUAGUUUGACUGGGGCGGUCUCCUCCCAAAGAGUAACGGAGGAGCACGAAGGUGGGCUAAUCACGGUUGGACAUCGUGAGGUUAGUGCAAUGGCAUAAGCCCGCUUAACUGCGAGAAUGACGGUUCGAGCAGGUGCGAAAGCAGGUCAUAGUGAUCCGGUGGUUCUGUAUGGAAGGGCCAUCGCUCAACGGAUAAAAGGUACUCCGGGGAUAACAGGCUGAUACCGCCCAAGAGUUCAUAUCGACGGCGGUGUUUGGCACCUCGAUGUCGGCUCAUCACAUCCUGGGGCUGAAGUCGGUCCCAAGGGUAUGGCUGUUCGCCAUUUAAAGUGGUACGCGAGCUGGGUUUAGAACGUCGUGAGACAGUUCGGUCCCUAUCUGCCGUGGGCGUUGGAAGAUUGAAGGGGGCUGCUCCUAGUACGAGAGGACCGGAGUGGACGAACCUCUGGUGUUCGGGUUGUGUCGCCAGACGCAUUGCCCGGUAGCUAAGUUCGGAAUUGAUAAGCGCUGAAAGCAUCUAAGCGCGAAGCGAGCCCUGAGAUGAGUCUUCCCUGAUACUUUAAGUAUCCUAAAGGGUUGUUCGAGACUAG